rnacentral:tRNA from 1 species
GGGCUGCUGGUCGAAUGGGAAGACGCCGACCUCGCGCGUCGGAAAUCGGGGUUCAACUCCCCGGCGGUCCA